rnacentral:tRNA from 1 species
CAAAGAGUAGUUUAUAUAAAAUAGUAAUUUUGGAGAUUACAGAUAGAAGAAAUUUCUUUCUUUGA